AACUUUCAACAACGGAUCUCUUGGUUCUGGCAUCGAUGAAGAACGCAGCGAAAUGCGAUAAGUAAUGUGAAUUGCAGAAUUCAGUGAGCCAUCGAAUCUUUGAACGCACAUUGCGCCCGCCAGCACUCUGGCGGGCAUGCCUGUCCGAGCGUCAUC
rnacentral:rRNA from 1 species